rnacentral:SRP_RNA from 1 species
CCGUGCUAGACGGGGAGGUAGCGGUGCCCUGUAACCCGCAACCCGCUAUAGCGGGGUCGAAUUCCCGUCCGAGGGUAUGGCUUGUAGGGUCUGCCUCGGGUAAGUAGUGAAGAUGGCUGGGUCCUACGCGGCGAAGCCCCAUGAACCCCGUCAGGUCCGGGAGGAAGCAGCGGUAAGUGGCAAGCUUCGGGCGCCGUAGGAGCGCCUGGCCGGAGCCAACUGCCCGGGUAACGCCUGGAAGUCUAUAUUCGGAGACGGGUGCACGG